rnacentral:rRNA from 1 species
UACAGAGGUCUCAAGCGUUGUUCGGAUUCACUGGGCGUAAAGGGUGCGCAGGCGGCCAAGUGUGUCAGGUGUGAAAGCUCGAGGCUUAACCUCGAAACUGCGCCUGAAACUAUUUGGCUAGAGUACUGGAGAGGGAAGUGGAAUUCACGGUGUAGCAGUGAAAUGCGUAGAUAUCGUGAGGAACACCAGUGGCGAAGGCGGCCUUCUGGUCCAGUACUGACACUCAAGUGCGAAAGCGUGGGGAGCAAACAGG